GUAAAAGUUGCCCCAAUUUUUGAUUUCUUAACAGCUUUUUACAUUUCUGUCUUUCUAAUCAUGUUGCAAUAUUUCAGGUCUUGAAUAAUUGGUUCAUUGAUUUGUCCACCCUCCUGCCUGGAUAAGACAUACUCCUAAAAGAUCCCGGCUGAGAUAGAAAUGAUCAGCUCCUUCCUUCAUGGAUAUUGCAUAGCCGGACAGCGGAUAUUGCACAUGAUGGAGGCAGAGUUUCUCAGGAUUACCACUACUCCCCUUCUCUCAAAGUUCCUUGGACAAAUAGACCAGCACACUGAUCAGCUAUUCAAAGUGUUCAGGAACAAACAAGGCUCUGCAGGGAGGAAAGUCCAGAUGAUACUGGCCCCAAUGACAGAG